UGGACCAGUGAUGAGUGUCAUGGGGUUUCUGAAACAGGAAUUUUGAUUAAACCCAUCUGCAACUCUGAGGUCCAUU
ensembl:snoRNA